AACGCGAAGAACCUUACCAGGUCUUGACAUCCCAUUGACCACUAUGGAGACAUAGUUUUCCCUUCGGGGACAAUGGUGACAGGUGGUGCAUGGUUGUCGUCAGCUCGUGUCGUGAGAUGUUGGGUUAAGUCCCGCAACGAGCGCAACCCUUGUUCUUAGUUGCCAUCAUUUAGUUGGGCACUCUAAGGAGACUGCCGGUGACAAACCGGAGGAAGGUGGGGAUGACGUUAAAUCAUCAUGCCCCUUAUGACCUGGGCUACACACGUGCUACAAUGGACGGUACAAACGGUUGCCAACCCGCGAGGGGGAGCUAAUCCGAUAAAACCGUUCUCAGUUCGGAUUGUAGGCUGCAACUCGCCUACAUGAAGCCGGAAUCGCUAGUAAUCGUGGAUCAGCAUGCCACGGUGAAUACGUUCCCGGGCCUUGUACACACCGUAGAGAC
rnacentral:rRNA from 1 species